rnacentral:lncRNA from 1 species
UUAGUGAUUACAGUUUGUAAUUUGUUUGCAAGUAGGCAUUGAUUCUGUAUGCUUUUUGUUUACCGAUUUAAGGUUUAGCGAUAUCAGUUUUGUUUGAAUGAUUAGAUGUUGAUUACUACCUCAAAAGGUCGUAAUUUAUAUGAUGGUUCAUGCAUUUGCACCUUUGUCUUUGAAUCUUUUUGAGUACCUUUAGGUAUGUGAAAGUGGUCUGUUGUAAUUACUUCAUCAAGGAGAUUGAUUAUCAGCUAGGAAAUGAGCUGAAUGUAGUUUUAUGCUGCAACCAGCUAAGCUAGUCACGAGUGAUGUCUUGGCAAAAUUUAUUUUGUUUCUUUACCAUUGGAUGAUUGUUGAUUAAUGAGUCAUGUAUUUAUUAUAGGAGAAUUUUAUGGGUUUGUAGUAUGUGAGCAGGGUUUUGAGUAUUUAACUGUGAUCAUUUAUUUUUUUCUCUGUCUUAUGUUUCCCUUUUUCACCGUGUUCUCGUAUCUUUUUCUGAGCUGGUGUACAUAUGUUAGCUUUUGCUUCAGACCAGUAGAUGAUACACCAUUAACUGCAUUUGUAUUGCUGGGGCAAAAUUUAGGAGAAUAAAUUUAUUCAUGGUUAAUCUAGUAGAGAUAUUUAACUUUUGUUAGAGAAUAGAUUCAUCUCUUUUUCCUCCCCCUUCCCUUAAACACUAUUACUAUUAGUUCUUCUCACUCAACUACCUAAGCUUUCCUAUCGUUUCCUUGGAAUAUCAUGCUUAUGCUUUAUCAAUGCUAGAACAUCUGCAAGUUAGUUGGGCGUUUUUUAUGCAGGUCAUUAUGCAAAUGCAUGAAAAUUCAGAAAAAACCUAGCCAAGUUCAUAAUCGAUUACUUUAGCAACGUUCUAAAAAUUAUUUCCGGAUUUUAAGAAAAAACCUAGCCAAGAAUAGUAUUGCAUAUUGUGAAAAGAAAAGAAAGGGAGUGUUAAUGCCAGCCUCCACCUUGUGCUAUUCUUUUUGGCUGCAAAAGAUCAUAUUUAUACAUUAAGGAUAAACACUACAUAUCGUAGCAUCAUUACAUAUGGUUAUGCUUCUAGGAUAAGUAGUUUCUAAUUUGUCUGCCUCUAGUACUACAACAACAACAACAACAACUACCCAGUUAUCCCACCAGGUGGGGUAUGGGGAGGGUAAUANNN